rnacentral:rRNA from 1 species
GACGGAGGGUGCUAGCGUUGUUCGGAAUUACUGGGCGUAAAGGGCGCGUAGGCGGAUUAGUAAGUUGGGAGUGAAAGCCCGGGGCUUAACCUCGGAACUGCUUUCAAAACCGCUAGUCUAGAGUGAAGUAGGGGGUGAUGGAAUUCCUAGUGUAGAGGUGAAAUUCACAGAUAUUAGGAGGAACACCGGUGGCGAAGGCAGUCACCUAGACUUCAACUGACGCUGAGGCGCGAAAGCGUGGGGAGCAAACAGG